UACAGAGGGUGCGAGCGUUAAUCGGAAUUACUGGGCGUAAAGCGUGCGUAGACGGUUAUCUAAGUCGGGUGUGAAAGCCCCGGGCUCAACCUGGGAAUUGCAUUCGAGACUGAAUAGCUAGGGUACGGUAGAGGGAAGUGGAAUUUCCGGUGUAGCGGUGAAAUGCGUAGAUAUCGGAAGGAACAUCAGUGGCGAAAGCGACUUCCUGGACCAGUACCGACGUUCAGGCACGAAAGCGUGGGGAGCAAACAGG
rnacentral:rRNA from 1 species